rnacentral:rRNA from 1 species
UACGUAGGGGGCAAGCGUUGUCCGGAAUCAUUGGGCGUAAAGCGCGUGUAGGCGGUCCGGUAAGUCCGCUGUGAAAGUCGGGGGCUCAACCCUCGGAUGCCGGUGGAUACUGUCGGGCUAGAGUGCGGAAGAGGCGAGUGGAAUUCCUGGUGUAGCGGUGAAAUGCGCAGAUAUCAGGAGGAACACCAAUUGCGAAGGCAGCUCGCUGGGACGUGACUGACGCUGAGACGCGAAAGCGUGGGGAGCAAACAGG